AGAGAGAGAGAGAGAGAGAGAGAGAGAGAGAGAGAGAGAGAGAGAGAGAGAGAGAGAGAGAGAGAGAGAGAGAGAGAGAGAGAUUGUGUGUGUUAGAUUAUGUUAGGUUAAGUUAGGUUAGGUUCAGAGAGAGAGAGAGAGAGAGAGAGAGAGAGAGAGAGAGAGAGAGAGAGAGAGAGAGAGAGAGAGAGAGAGA